rnacentral:rRNA from 1 species
GCAUCCAACGCGUUGGGAGCUCUCCCAUAUGGUCGACCUGCAGGCGGCCGCGAAUUCACUAGUGAUUCGUAUUACCGCGGCUGCUGGCACGGAGUUAGCCGGAGCUUAUUCUCCCGGUACUGUCAUUAUCAUCCCGGGUAAAAGAGCUUUACAACCCUAAGGCCUUCAUCACUCACGCGGCAUUGCUGGAUCAGGCUUUCGCCCAUUGUCCAAUAUUCCCCACUGCUGCCUCCCGUAGGAGUCUGGGCCGUGUCUCAGUCCCAGUGUGGCUGAUCAUUCUCUCAAACCAGCUACAGAUCAUUGGCUUGGUAGGCCAUUACCCUACCAACUACCUAAUCUGGCGCGGGCUCAUCCAUCAGCGAUAAAUCUUUCCUCCAAAGAGAAUAUACGGUAUUAGCAAUUAUUUCUAAAUGUUAUUCCGUACUGAUGGGCAGAUUCCCACGUGUUACUCACCCGUCUGCCACUAAUUUAUUUAAAGCAAGCUCUAAAUAAAUCCGUUCGACUUGCAUGUGUUAAGCAUACCGAAAGCGUUCGUUCUGAGCCAUGAUCAAACUCUAAUCGAAUUCCCGCGGCCGCCAUGGCGCCCGCAAGCAUGCGAC